GACGAACGCUGGCGGCGUGCUUAACACAUGCAAGUCGAACGGAAAGGCCCUGCUUUUGUGGGGUGCUCGAGUGGCGAACGGGUGAGUAACACGUGAGUAACCUGCCCUUGACUUUGGGAUAACUUCAGGAAACUGGGGCUAAUACCGGAUAGGAGCUCCUGCUGCAUGGUGGGGGUUGGAAAGUUUCGGCGGUGGGGGAUGGACGCGCGGCUUAUCAGCUUGUUGGUGGGGUAGUGGCUUACCAAGGCUUUGACGGGUAGCCGGCCUGAGAGGGUGACCGGCCACAUUGGGACUGAGAUACGGCCCAGACUCCUACGGGAGGCAGCAGUGGGGAAUAUUGCACAAUGGGCGGAAGCCUGAUGCAGCAACGCCGCGUGCGGGAUGACGGCCUUCGGGUUGUAAACCGCUUUCGCCUGUGACGAAGCGUGAGUGACGGUAAUGGGGAAAGAAGCACCGGCUAACUACGU
rnacentral:rRNA from 1 species